rnacentral:lncRNA from 1 species
AGCCUUUGCUCUUGUCUCUGGUCUAGGACCCUCGGGGGUGACUGUGUGGGAUUUGCUUAUAGUCUUGUGGUCUGGGUGAGUGUGUGCACGGGAGUUCGGGAGGAAGGGCGGAGCCAGGUGCCGGCCGCGGCGGGCUUCGAGUUCCUGGAGCCUCCGGAGCCUGAAUUGAUGGUGCCGGGCGCACGGGAGACUGGGAGUCGUCGGAGUCUGUCCGUCUGAUCGGUGUUGCUUGUGAACCUUGGACUGCCCCGUCAUAUUCCACCGGUUCAAUACGUCUCACUCAAGGAGGCUUUUAUGCCCAGAGUGACCAGCAACUGUCCUGUAUUGGCCUGGCUGCUCCCCUUUGUAUCUCUUCCCAGUGUGUCAGCUCCCUCCUGCAGUCGUCACCACUGUCACUUCCGCCACUGUCUCUGCAGCUGCCACUGCCAUUGUCUCUGUUGCCACUACCUCAGCUAUCAUGGUGCGGCUUUCUCCACAACCAAUCAAAGACAAAGAUCAGAAGUCAGCCAGAAAAG